CAGAAAACUGCUUCUGGUCCAGCUUUUCUCCGACACCAACGGAGGCAGCAACUCUGUCCCCCCAGGUCUCAGGCACGAGGCUAUGCUGUCCUUUCAAAGGCCCAGCUUUGGACGUGGGCAGUGCAGGAGCUGAAGCUGCAGGAACUUGCCGCGUCUGCAAGGAGCCCCGAGAGCUCUCUGAAGUGGUUUGAGCACAGGCCUGUCAAA